rnacentral:rRNA from 1 species
AUUGAACGCUGGCGGCAGGCCUAACACAUGCAAGUCGAGCGGAUGAGUGGAGCUUGCUCCAUGAUUCAGCGGCGGACGGGUGAGUAAUGCCUAGGAAUCUGCCUGGUAGUGGGGGACAACGUUUCGAAAGGAACGCUAAUACCGCAUACGUCCUACGGGAGAAAGCAGGGGACCUUCAGGCCUUGCGCUAUCAGAUGAGCCUAGGUCGGAUUAGCUAGUAGGUGAGGUAAAGGCUCACCUAGGCGACGAUCCGUAACUGGUGUGAGAGGAUGAUCAGGCACACUGGAACUGAGACACGGUCCAGACUCCUACGGGAGGCAGCAGUGGGGAAUAUAGGACAAUGGGCGAAAGCCUGAUCCAGCCAUGCCGCGUGUGUGAAGAAGGUCUUCGGAUUGUAAAGCACUUUAAGUUGGGAGGAAGGGCAGUAAGUUAAUACCUUGCUGUUUUGACGUUACCAACAGAAUAAGCACCGGCUAACUUCGUGCCAGCAGCCGCCGUAAUAC